rnacentral:rRNA from 1 species
AACGAACGCUGGCGGCAUGCCUAACACAUGCAAGUCGAACGAGACCUUCGGGUCUAGUGGCGCACGGGUGCGUAACGCGUGGGAACCUGCCCUUAGGUUCGGAAUAACUCCCCGAAAGGGGUGCUAAUACCGGAUAAUGUCUUCGGACCAAAGAUUUAUCGCCUUUGGAUGGGCCCGCGUUGGAUUAGCUAGUUGGUAGGGUAAAAGCCUACCAAGGCGACGAUCCAUAGCUGGUCUGAGAGGAUGAUCAGCCACACUGGGACUGAGACACGGCCCAGACUCCUACGGGAGGCAGCAGUGGGGAAUAUUGGACAAUGGGCGAAAGCCUGAUCCAGCAAUGCCGCGUGAGUGAUGAAGGCCUUAGGGUUGUAAAGCUCUUUUCACCGGGAUGAUAAUGACAGUACCGGGAGAAUAAGCGCCGGCUAACUCCGUG